AGAGUUUGAUCCUGGCUCAGAAUCAACGCUGGCGGCGUGCCUAACACAUGCAAGUCGAACGAGAAAGUGGAGCAAUCCAUGAGUAAAGUGGCGCACGGGUGAGUAACACGUGACUAACCUACCCUCGAGUGGGGGAUAACCUGGGGAAACCUUGGCUAAUACCGCAUAACACCUACGGGUCAAAGGAGCAAUUCGCUUAAGGAGGGGGUCGCGGCAGAUUAGUUAGUUGGCGGGGUAAUGGCCCACCAAGACAGUGAUCUGUAUCCGGCCUGAGAGGGCGCACGGACACACUGGAACUGAAACACGGUCCAGACUCCUACGGGAGGCAGCAGUGGGGAAUUUUGCGCAAUGGGGGAAACCCUGACGCAGCAACGCCGCGUGGAGGAUGAAGUCCCUUGGGACGUAAACUCCUUUCGACCGGGACGAUUAUGACGGUACCGGAAGAAGAAGCCCCGGCUAACUUCGUGCCAGCAGCCGCGGUAAUACGAGGGGGGCGAGCGUUGUUCGGAAUUAUUGGGCGUAAAGGGUGCGUAGGCGGUUCGGUAAGUUUUGUGUGAAAUCUUCGGGCUCAACUCGAAGCCUGCACAAAAUACUGCCGGGCUUGAGUGUGGGAGAGGUGAGUGGAAUUUCCGGUGUAGCGGUGAAAUGCGUAGAUAUCGGAAGGAACACCUGUGGCGAAAGCGGCUCACUGGACCACAACUGACGCUGAUGCACGAAAGCUAGGGGAGCAAACAGGAUUAGAUACCCUAGUAGUCC
rnacentral:rRNA from 1 species